UAGCAAGCUUUUCCCUCUAUGUACAUAUGUAUGUAUAGGCAUAAUAAAUUCAUAGCGUUUGUAGCCAUCUGCAAAAUAUAUUUAUCGGCUUGCACGAAUAAAAUACCGUGCGAAUGUCUUGUUUUAGUUGUUAUGGAUCCGCGAGAAGCGCUGUUUCACUUGGAAAGCUUAGGCUUGAAGACAAUUUAGCAUAUUUAAUAAAUAAAUGGUAACUCGUAUUUCAUACAAACUGAUAAAAAAUGCUAAUGGUUUAUUGACAAUAAAAAUUGAUCCCACUGUCUGGACAUUGUGCAAAAAACAGAAAGUAAUCUCAUGAAGUUCUUUUGAAAUUAAAGUAAGCUAAUUCUAUGAAGAAUGAA